rnacentral:rRNA from 1 species
UACGGAGGGUGCGAGCGUUGUCCGGAAUCACUGGGCGUAAAGGGCGCGUAGGCGGCGCGGGGAGUCAACGGUGAAAGCUCGGCGCUCAACGCCGAGUCGGCCGUCGAUACUCCCGUGCUUGAGCACUGUAGAGGCAGGUGGAAUUCCGGGUGUAGCGGUGGAAUGCGUAGAGAUCCGGAAGAACACCGGUGGCGAAGGCGGCCUGCUGG